AUACACUCCUUAAACAACGUCGUUUUUAAACUGGAAAGAAAACUGUACGUCUCUCGAUUUUAAGCCCUGAAAUGCCUGCCUCUGGCGUCGCUCCAAGUUCUACACAGACCCAAUUGUAAGUUGUGGACGACUAGAAGCCUUCUCUGUUGGGAUCUCUUAGAGAUUGGGUAGGUUUGGAUUGGAGCAGAAGAUGAGAGUAUUUUCCAUAUUCAUUCUCCUUGUGUUAUGCGUAGCUUCAUUUGUUAGAUCAGCUUCUUGUGCUCCCAAAAACCCUUUUCUUGGAAUUUCUCCUCAAGAUGAGAAUUACUACAAGUCCUCAUCAGAUAGCAUCAAGUGCAAAGAUGGAUCCAAGAAAUUCUCCAAAUCCCAGCUCAAUGAUGACUUCUGCGAUUGCCCUGACGGCACCGAUGAGCCUGGUACAUCGGCCUGCCCAUCUGCAAAGUUCUACUGCCAAAAUGCUGGACACGUUCCGCAAUUCUUAUUUUCUUCCAGGGUCAAUGAUGGUAUCUGUGAUUGUUGUGAUGGGAGUGACGAGUACGAUGAUAAAGUGAAGUGCCCCAAUACGUGCUGGGAGGCUGGCAAAGUGGCUAGAGAUAGGCUGAUAAAAAAAAUCACUACUUAUAAGGAGGGGACUACUCUGCGAAAGCUGGAAGUUGAACAGGCUAAAAUAGAUAUAGCCAAAGAUGAAGCAGAACUAACAAAGCUUAAAAAUGAGGAGAAAAUAUUGAAGGGCCUUGUUCAAGAGCUUAAAGAACGUAAAGAACAGAUUGAGAAGGCAGAGGAGAAAGAAAGGUUGCAGAAAGAGAAGGAAGAGAACGAAAAAAGAAAAGCAGAGGAAGCUUUAAGAGAAAAUGGGAAAGCUGGGGAGGAAGGGAAGGUGGAAAAUGAAGAAGUUGAGGAAGAAGCUAGCAAUGAAGAUAAACCCACAGAAAGUACACAUGAUACAACAAUUGGUAACAUGGAGGAUUCUUCUUUAAAUGAGGAAAUCAAGGUAGAUGACAUUGUUGAUGAUCCAGCAACAGAAGUUGAAAAUAGUGAUACUUCCAUAACCAAAGGAGUUCCUCUUAAUAGGGUAGAAGAGCAUGUGUUGGAAAAUAAGCAUGUGUCUGCUUCACAACACCAUGAUGAUUCUUCUGUUUCAACUGAAAUAGAUCAUGGUGCCAGAAGCAAAUUAUCACCUGAUGAAGACAAGAAAGCGGAGAGUGAUGCAUCUGAAAUCGCGGAGGGGUUGUCAAGGGAAGAAUUAGGUCGCCUUGUUGCUUCCCGUUGGACCGGGGAAAGCACUGAGAAAGAAGGUGGAAUAAAACAUAAUGCUGAUGACAGCCAUGAAGAGAUACCUAAGGACACACAUGAUGAGCAAUUUGAUGGCUAUGUGUCUGAUACCGAUGAGGAAACUGGAAAAUAUGAUGACAACGGAAAAUAUGAUGAUGAUAUGGAUAGUGAACCAGAUGAAGGUUAUGAAGAGGAGAAUCAUGAUGAUACAACUUUUUACAAAUCUGACUUAGAUGAUGAACCUGAAUUGUCAGAUACAACUUACUCAAAUAACCCAUCUUGGUUGGAGAAGAUACAACGAACAGUUAGGAAUAUCCUUGAUGCUGUUAAUUUAUUCAAAACUCCAGUAAAUAUAUCAGAGGCUGCUUAUGUACGCAAGGAAUAUGAUGAAUCCAGUGCCAAGUUAUCUAAAAUACAAUCAAGGAUAUCAAGUUUGACACAAAAGCUAAAACAUGAUUUUGGACCAGAGAAGGAGUUCUAUGCAUUCUAUGAUCAUUGUUUUGAGAGCAAGCAGAACAAGUAUGUUUACAAAGUCUGCCCAUACAAACAAGCUACUCAAGAGGAGGGCCAUUCAACAACUCGUUUGGGGCGUUGGGACAAAUUUGAGGACUUAUACAGGAUGAUGGUAUUUUCAAAUGGAGAUAGGUGCUGGAAUGGCCCAGAUCGAAGUAUGAAGGUGAAAUUAAGAUGUGGUUUGAAAAACGAGAUAACUGAUGUCGAUGAACCAAGCCGUUGCGAAUAUGUAGCUUUACUGUCCACCCCAGCUCUUUGCCUGGAGGAUAAGCUGAAGGAGCUGCAACAUAAAUUAGAUUUGAUGAAUAAAGAACAACCUCGGGAACAUGAUGAACUUUGAGGAACCUGGAUAGAAAUUUCAUGGACACGGUAGAGGAUGUUUGACUCCUUAACUAAUCUAUCGUAACAAAACGUAUCAGUUCCAUCCUCGUAAUGAAGAGAUGUAGAAUGUGGCCUUUUUGAGCUGGCUGGUAGAAUGAAGGAUUUCAAGCAAUGUCUGAGGUGGCCUCCUGAAAAUUUUUUUGUAUGGGAGUGUGCUUCAUAUUGCAAUUACAUGGAUGGAUUGAGGUGCAAUUAUAUUUGUCUGGCAGAGUUUGAACUGAUUUUGAGGAAACAAAAUAGACGCAUGACCUAUGAGAUCUCAGUCAACAUGGCAAAUGGCAAGUAGUUGAAUUAUUUUGUCCAUAUGGAGAUUUAAGUUUGGGCUUUUCGAUAGGAAUCCAAUCGAGCUUUUUUCCGAAGAUGUCGAAUACCGAAUUACCGAUGGCAUUGGGUCUGAUGGCUUUUGCCAUUGAGCAUCUAUGGGCGAAGGUGUUCUUUUUUUCUUUGAUUCUAGACCAUUGUAUUUGCUGUCAAUUGGUUUGACUUUCUCGUUUUCUAAGAGCACGCACGAAGUCUGAGAGAGAAGGGUGGGGAGUGAGUGGUUCAAAAGUAACAGUUGCAUGCUCGUGAAAAAUUAAGCGUCGCUACUUUCUACGGGGCUCACAUUCGCAUAUGACAAGGCAAAGUCUAGCCACGAUUGGAUUGCUGAGUUGGUCGCCAAAAUGUGAGUUAAAAGGGCUGAGAAAAUGAAAAUGGCAAACCAUGUCCCUCCUAAUCACACUACGUUGUAAGAGGUGAAGGGUGGCAGGCAGGCAGCAGGACAGGGCAGGCCAGCAACUGCAAACGACCAAUGGCAUGCAGUUAAAUAGAAGUAUUUCUACGGAGAACUCUGCUGAACAUGAAUGAACCAAUUCCAGAUCCACCCUUACGUGCUUUUUUUUUUUUUUCUUUAUUUCGGCUUGAUAUAUGCAAGAUAUUACUGUUGGCAAUUGAAAUAUGAAAUAGUAGACAGUAGCAGUAUCUAUGGAAGUUUAUGAGUGUGAAUUCCACCAAACAAAGAAUUAGACGUGAAUUUCAAUUUUUUGUUG